rnacentral:rRNA from 1 species
AUGCCUCGCACACCACAGCGGAGUGGUGGAGUGUACCAUCUGGGCUGGGGAGGGGAAGGAGCAGAGGGGAUGAGCGGCGGCGGCGGCGGCGGCGGCGGAGUGCUGGGCGCCGGCUCGUCGUACCAGAGCUUCGUCCGCACCGCGCUGGAACAGACCCGCCUCCGCACCGCCCUCACGCCCCACCCCUCGCAGGAAAAGUUCAGGCUCAUACGAGCCAACGACGAUGCUGCUGUUUUGGACGCUCUCUCAUUCAGCGCCCCCAAGAUCAGACUGCUUCGCAGCUUGACGGUUGAGAAGAAAAACUCGGUUCAGGUUCUUGACUUUGCUGCUUUCUCUGAACCUGAAUAUGAUCUUCCUAUAUUUUGCGCCAACGCUUUUACGACUCCUGCACAGAGUAUCGUUGUCUUGGACCUCAAUCCGCUAUACGAUAUAACUGAAGACAAGGAUUACAAAGAUAAAUACUACAGGAAUUUGAUGCCUCUUAUACACAAGUAUAGUGAGCUUCUGCCAUGGGGUGGCAAGAUUACGAGCGAAUCUCUGAGAUUCUUCUCUCCAAUCGUGAUCUGGACUAUAUUUGAGCCCACUGAACGUAACCAUCAUGUUCUGUAUUCAGCUUUGAUGGAUUACUAUAAGGUUUGGCUUCAGUUAACGGAUCAAGCAACUGAAGAAAAUGACACAACGAAAGUUGUUCGUAACAGAGAAGCGCAACAUAGAUAUCUCACAUGGAGGGCUGAAAAGGAUCCUGGGUUUCCACUUCUGAAGAAGUUGAUUGGUGAAAGCCAUGCCAAGGAUUUGGUGACUGAGUUCCUGUUCGAAGGAGUGCAUUCUCUUGGAACUAAAUCUUUCCUGGACUAUUUUCGCGAGUACGCAUGUGACGACGGGACAGUAAACAAGAAGAGGAGUAUGAUCGGGAAAUCUUUCGAAGAUAGGCCUUGGGAUGCUACGGGAGAAUUCAUUGGUGGCAAGGAUGCAGGAUGA